UAGCUUAGUUGGUAGAGCACUUGCCUGGCACUCAAUAAGUCCUGGGUUUGAUCCCAG
rnacentral:tRNA from 1 species